UGCUGGUGAUCAAACAGUUUCGUACUGCUUUUAUUUUACUGCUUCUGUCGCUUACUACUUUGCAACCCCCUUUUUUAUUGAUUGGAAAUUUUUGAUCCUUUGAGCAAUUCAAGCAAUUUGAUUUUGAUUCCACUGUGUAUCAUCUGCCUGCAUACCUGCCUGCCUGCCUGCCUGUUUGAUUCCCUAGCUGCCUACACCUUUGCCUGCUUGCUUGAGUGCCUACCUGCCUACCCCUUUGCCUGCCUGCUUGAUUUUCUACCUAUGUACCCCUUUGCCUGCCUGCCUACCCCUGCUUGAUUGCCUGCCUGCCUGCCUACCUGCUUGCUUGCUUGCUUGCUUGACUGCCAAUCUGCCUGCUUGCUUGCUUGUUUGCCUGCCUGCCUGCCUACCCUUGCUUACUUGCUUGCUUGAUUGCCUACCUACCUGCCCGCCUGCUUGCUUUAUUGCCUGCCUGCCUACCCCUUUGCCUGCCUGCCUGCUUGAUUGUCUACCUAUCUACCCCUUUGCCUGCCUGCCUAUCCCUGCUUGAUUGCCUGCCUGCCUAUCCCUGCUUGAUUGCCUGCCUGCCUGCCUACCCCUUUGCCUGCCUGCCUGCCUGCUUGAUUGUCUACCUAUCUACCCCUUUGCCUGCCUGACUAUCCCUGCUUGAUUGCCUGCCUGCCUAUCCCUGCUUGAUUGCCUGCCUGCCCCCCUGCUUGCUUGCUUGAUUGCCUGCCUGCCUGCCCCCCUGCUUGCUUGCUUGACUGCCUGCCUAUCUGCCUGCUUGUUUGUUUGCCUGCCUGCCUACCCCUGCUUACUUGCUUGCUUUAUUGCCUGCCUGCUUGCCCGCCCGUCUGUCCCUGCUUGCUUGCUUGCUUGAUUGCCUGCCUGCCUACCCUUGCUUGAUUGUCUGCCUGCCUUCCCCCUGCUUGCUUGCUUGAUUGAUUGCCUGCUUGCCUACCCCUGCUGGCUUGCUUGCCUGCAUGCCUGCCUGCCUGCUUGUUUGCUCACCUGCUGCCUACCUACCUGCCUGCUUGCCCCUCUCACACCAUCAUCAAACACAGGCUUGGGACCAGCAAUGAGAACACACUGUUGCACGCAACCCCAGUGGCCAGGGACCGAACCCAGGCCACAGCGAUUUCUUUCCCCAUUUUCUUCCUCAUUUUGGUCAUGGCCAAUUCCCACCCACCAGCCAGCUCUCCAAUCAUACAACAGCUACCAUCCGGGGAGGGUGAAGGCUAACAUGCUUCCUCUGAGAGACGUGAAGCCAGCCAGCCACAUCUUUUCCAACUGCUGCUCGGAGAACACCUGCAGGAAAGAGCUAUCUACCCUCUUCUCCAUACAUGAGCGCACAGACACCCAUGAUUGGCUAGUUUCACUGUGAUUGACAGGAGAGAGAGAGUAUGCAUCCCUCCCACCCAGAAAUCACAGCCAGUUUU